UACGAGGGGGGCAAGCGUUGUUCGGAAUUAUUGGGCGUAAAGGGCGCGUAGGCGGUGCGGUAAGUCACCUGUGAAAACUCUGGGCUCAACUCAGAGCCUGCAGGCGAAACUGCCGUGCUUGAGUGUGGGAGAGGUGCGUGGAAUUCCCGGUGUAGCGGUGAAAUGCGUAGAUAUCGUAAGGAAGACCAGUGGCGAAGGCGGGUCUCUGGACAGUUCCUGACGCUGAGGCAGCGAAGGUCAGGGGAGCAAACGGG
rnacentral:rRNA from 1 species